UGCAUGCAUGACUGUAUGUCGUUUUGGUUAAAAGCGUCUGCUAAAUGGAAUAUA
rfam:Salmo salar isolate Sally breed double haploid chromosome ssa12, whole genome shotgun sequence.